rnacentral:pre_miRNA from 1 species
AGUGGGUGAGGGUCCAGUGUUUCACAUUGAUUUCUGUAUUUGUGACUAGAUCCACACUCAUUAA